CGCCGAUGAUGAUUCCUAUGCGCCGGGUGUCUGGGGAGAGAAGUAGAGACUAGUCAGGCUUUCUGCAGCCUGGCAGGUGCUUGGCUAACCCGGAGUGGCAAGCACAGGACUUCUGUAUGAAAAAGGACGGGGGCCCCAGGGGAUUUCACGGCCCUUGGACACACAGGGAGGAAUAUAUGGGGAGAAGCAAGUUAACUCCUCAUAUUUGCAUGUUUCUCCCAGGGCUUCCUGGCUGACCUUGGCAGAGCUAUAUGCAUUGAUGAGACCCAUAAGGCUGAUCCUGCUGAGACUCCAAAAUACAGCCCAGGUUCCUCCCGUCCAACCCUCCCAGCCAAGGAGCCAUUGCCUGCACCCACCUGAGACCUUCACCUCCACCACACACACGCUGUAGCCCACGUGGUUGGCCACUGUGCACUGAUACAGCCCAUCAUCCUUGUAGGUGAUGUCCUUCAACACUAGGUCACCGUUGUUCAGGCCUGAAACUGAAGGAGCAUCAGAGGACAAUGGUGAGGCCAAGGCGCUUGGUGUUUGAGAGCUUGACCCCAGCCUAGACCACUGCAGGAUGGCCCAUGGAAGGAGGGUGUAUGUACACACACAAGUCCACCCCACUGUGUCCAGUGAGGACCGGGUUAGACCAGAGGAAUUCUAAGGCUCCUUCCAGCUCUGAUCGUCUUUGAUUCAGCUUCUGGAACAGGCUCCGAGGAGGACUCUCCCACAGCUGGUGCCGCUGAUGACCUAGGGGAGCCCCAGCGGGACCCAGCGUCCCCAUCUUCCCCUCUCCCAAGGCCCCCUCACCUUGACUGAUGGAGCUGUGGAAGGACUCGUGGUAGGAGACCUCAGAGUGGAAGCUGUGCUGAGAAUGAUAAGACCCGGCCCGGUAGGGGUGAGUAUGCCCGCUGAUCUUGGCCCACUUGUAGGUGAGAGGUGGGCUGCCCCCAUUGGCGAAGCACUUCAGCACCACAUCAUUGCCGUGUGUAAAGUGGCCCUCAGACCAGCACAAGGGCACCGCAGGCCGCGCUACAGGGAAGAGGGUAGUUGUGAGCCAGGGCCCAGCCAAGAGGCAGAGCCAGGCUCAGGGUGGCCAGGCCACCCUUGAUUCUGAAGUCUGGGGAAGGGGAUCCCAGAGGAGCCUGCUCACACCUUGGACGGUGAUAAUGACCCUCCGGGUGGCCACAGUGGUCUUCUUCACCCGGCACUCAUAGGUGGCUGUGUCAGAGACUUGCAGGUUCGAGAGGGUAAUGGAGGCAUCGUACUGGCUGGGGUCUGAGGCUGCAAAGCGCACCCUCUGCUGCAGAUGGGGGAGGUUGCCAUGGUUGAUCCUCUUGUCCUGGUAACUAAGGAACUGUGAAGAGAAGAAAACAGAGAUGGUGAGACAGGCAGAGCCAAGGAAGGCCUUGUGGAUUGGCUGUCUGGGGCAAUUCACUGAACUUCCCUGAGACUCAGCUUUCUUGGAUGAAAAACAGGAAUGAUAAUGCCUGAUCCACUGACUUUUAACAGAAUGUGUGAGAUCAUAUGAAAUCAGGCACUCUCUGCCUAAUAGCUACCUCCCAGGGGCAUGUGAGGAUUAAAUGGGAUGAGAUGAAUAAAGCCACAGGCGCACAGAGAAGCUGGAUGGUACUCAAUCAAAGGCUAUCUGAGCUGGAAGUGUAAGGUCGGGCCAGGACAGUGCCUGUCUUCCUUUUGGAAUGGGGUGGGAGGAGGUGGCCUGACUGACUGGCUUGAUUGGAAAUUACACAGCGCCUCCCCAUUGCCCCAUUCUCUCGAGAAGCCUUGGGGAAAGUUCAAGGGCUGGGUUUUCUUAUUUGCCCUGCAAUGGGCUAGCUGCCCAACAAGUAAAUACUAUGAAGUGUGGAGUAAGGAGAAUCACGUACCCAGAGAGAAUCACUUACCACAUUCUCCCGAUGUGAGGGUUCUGAGUUGACCUGCUUCCAUUCAAUGUCCAGCCCGUUAGGACCGUAGUCCUCAGGGUCCAGGAUGUAGGGGCAGCCCAGCCUCGCAUUGUCACCUUCCGCCAGGUACAGGAUCUCCUGGCCAUCCCCGUUGAUCCGUACAGCAGACAGCAGCGCUAGGAUACAGGCAGGGCAGAUGGGAUAAGGGGAGCGGGACCAGGGCUUGGGAUCAGCUUCAGCUCCCUUCUCUCCACCAUUCCUUGUCAGUGGCAGCCCGGACCUCAGUGCGGGUUUCUCGGGGAGUAGGGCCUGCUCUGAGUGUGCAUGAUUUGAUCCAUGCAUAUGUGUGCUGACUUGUGUUAGCAUGUCUGUAUUCUAUAACUGUGUAGAAUUGCUGCUAUACUGUUUGUAUAUUGUAUAUAUAUAGUUGUUAAGAAUGCUUGUA